rnacentral:rRNA from 1 species
UCCGUAAGUAGCGGCGAGCGAACGCGGAUUAGCCCAAACCAAUAAAGUUUUCUUUAUUGGGGUUGCGGACAUAUCAUAACGAAGAGGUAUCGUAAUUGAAGAGGUUUGGAAAGACCCACCACAGAAGGUAAUAGUCCUGUAUGUUAAACGAGAAGACUUCAGAUAUGAUCCAGAGUACCACGGGACACGUGAAACCCUGUGGGAAGCAGGAGGGACCACCCUCCAAGGCUAAAUACUACCUAGUGACCGAUAGCGUAUAGUACCGUGAGGGAAAGGUGAAAAGAACCCCGGGAGGGGAGUGAAAUAGAACCUGAAACCCUGCACUUACAAGCUGUGGAAGCACAUUUCUUGUGUGACCGCGUACUUUUUGUAGAACGGGCCAACGAGUUACGUUAAGUAGCAAGGUUAAGCACUUAAGGUGCGGAGCCGUAGCGAAAGCGAGUUUUAACUGAGCGUUCAGUUACUUGACGUAGACCCGAAACCGGGCGACCUACCCAUGAGCAGGAUGAAGCGAAAGUAAAAUUUCGUGGAGGUCCGAACCCACGAGCGUUGAAAAGCUCGGGGAUGACUUGUGGGUAGCGGUGAAAUUCCAAUCGAGCCCGGAGAUAGCUGGUUCUCCCCGAAAUAGCUUUAGGGCUAGCCUCAAGGUGAGAGAUACGGAGGUAGAGCACUGAAUGUCCUAGGGGGUAUUGCACCUACCGAAGACUAUCAAACUCCGAAUGCCGUCAUCUUAUACUUGGGAGUCAGACUGUGGGUGAUAAGAUUCAUAGUCGAAAGGGCAACAGCCCAGAUCGUCAGCUAAGGUCCCUAAAUGUAAGUUAAGUGGUAAAGGAUGUGGGAUUGCACAGACAACCAGGAUGUUGGCUUAGAAGCAGCCACUCAUUCAAAGAGUGCGUAAUAGCUCACUGGUCGAGUGAUCCUGCGCCGAAGAUUUCCGGGGCUAAAACUUACUACCGAAGCUACGGCAUCAGUAAUGAUGGGUAGGGGAGCUUCCCAUACGGGUUGAAGCAUGACCGUAAGGACAUGUGGACAGUAUGGGAGUGAGAAUGUUGGCAUGAGUAGCGAGAUGUGGGUGAGAAUCCCACAGGCCGUAAACCCAAGGUUUCCAGGGGAAGGUUCGUCCGCCCUGGGUUAGUCGGGACCUAAGCUGAGGCCGAAAGGCGUAGGUGAUGGACAACAGGUUGAUAUUCCUGUACUACCGAUAACCGUUUGAGAGAAGGGAUGACACAGUAGGAUAAGCUAAGCACACUGUUGGUUAUGUGUGCCCAAGCAUUGAGGCAGUCAAAGCAGGCAAAUCCGCUUUGAUAAUGCUGGGAUGUGAUGGGGAGCGAAAUUUAGUAGCGAAGUAGCUGAUUUCACACUGUCAAGAAAAGUCUCUAUCGAGGUUAAAGGUACCCGUACCGCAAACCGACACAGGUGGGUGAGGAGAGUAUCCUAAGGCCAGCGAGAGAACUGUUGUUAAGGAACUCGGCAAAAUGACCCCGUAACUUAGGGAUAAGGGGUGCCACCAUCCGGUGGCCGCAGAGAAUAGGCCCAAGCGACUGUUUACCAAAAACAUAGGUUUCUGCUAAGUCGCAAGACGAUGUAUAGGAGCUGACGCCUGCCCGGUGCUGGAAGGUUAAGGGGAUCUGUUAGAGCAAUCGAAGCAGUGAACUUAAGCCCCAGUAAACGGCGGCCGUAACUAUAACGGUCCUAAGGUAGCGAAAUUCCUUGUCGGGUAAGUUCCGACCCGCACGAAAGGCGUAACGAUUUGGGCACUGUCUCAACAACAGACUCGGUGAAAUUGUAAUUCCGGUGAAGAUGCCGGAUACCUGCGACAGGACGGAAAGACCCCAUGGAGCUUUACUGUAGCUUGACAUUGGGUCUUGGUACUACAUGUACAGGAUAGGUGGGAGGCUUUGAAACCAGGACGCCAGUUUUGGCGGAGCCAUCCUUGGGAUACCACCCUUGUAGUACUGGGACUCUAACCAUAGGCCAUGAAUCUGGUCUUGGGACACUGUCAGGUGGGCAGUUUGACUGGGGCGGUCGCCUCCCAAAAGGUAACGGAGGCGCUCAAAGGUUCUCUCAGUACGGUCGGAAAUCGUACGUAGAGUGUAAAG